GACGAACGCUGGCGGCGUGCCUAAUACAUGCAAGUAGAACGCACAGUUUAUACCGUAGCUUGCUACACCAUAGACUGUGAGUUGCGAACGGGUGAGUAACGCGUAGGUAACCUGCCUGGUAGCGGGGGAUAACUAUUGGAAACGAUAGCUAAUACCGCAUAAUAUUAAUUAUUGCAUGAUAAUUAAUUGAAAGGUGCAAUUGCACCACUACCAGAUGGACCUGCCUUGUAUUAGCUAGUAGGUGAGGUAACGGCUCACCUAGGCGACGAUACAUAGCCGACCUGAGAGGGCGAUCGGCCACACUGGGACUGAGACACGGCCCAGACUCCUACGGGAGGCAGCAGUAGGGAAUCUUCGGCAAUGGACGAAAGUCUGACCGAGCAACGCCGCGUGAGUGAAGAAGGUUUUCGGAUCGUAAAGCUCUGUUGUAAGAGAAGAACGGGUGUGAGAGUGGAAAGUUCACACUGUGACGGUAUCUUACCAGAAAGGGACGGCUAACUACGUG
rnacentral:rRNA from 1 species